AUCAAGCUGAUGAGUCCCAAAUAGGACAAAAUGUGAGUCCUGCAU
rnacentral:hammerhead_ribozyme from 1 species